CUCAGAACGACGUCGUUGCUCGCACCACCGGAGCCGCCAUGACCCCUCUGUCAAGUUGGUAAAGAGAAGGUACACAUGGCUCCUUCGUUGGCUAUCUAAUCGGUUUAAAGAUUGCAUAUUUUUAAAUCUUAUUUUCCACAUUUCGAACUUGUAGAAAUUCAAAAUUUGCAUCCUUUUUCUGAAUCCAUACAACAUAGUGAAUGUAUUGGUUUUGGAAACAUUCGUAGCUAUUGUAUCUGUUUUGAUGGUUUGUUCUUUUUGGUUUUUAGGUCAAUAUUAGAAGUACAAGUACAAACUGGGAAAAGCACUGCCAGAUUUAGCUACCAUCAAUCUCAAUUUGUCCAAGACAAGGUAAAAAAACACUGGUUUUUUUUUUACUAGAAAAGUUGCACCUUUUUUAUUUCCCAGAUAUCUAACUGGUUUCAAAAUUGCAUAGUAUUUUCCAGAUAUCUAACUUGCCGUAAAUCGAAAUUUGCAUCCUUUUUUCUUAUCCCUAAUAGACAAGUGCAUCUUGGUUUUGUUUCCUUUUUAUUGUCAUUUCUAUUUUAAUUAUGUUUCUUGUGGAACAAAAUCCAUAAUUUAUUUGAAGUGUGAAGUAAGAGAGAAAGCUACCCAAUAACACUUCUCACAAAAUAAAGAAGCUUAUAUAGGGCAAAGCUAAAACUCCAUUUCUGAUAACAUUU
rnacentral:lncRNA from 1 species